GUGGACUUGACUCCUGGGAAAAUCCGCUGCAGUAAGAAUAAGACGUUGUUGAGCAGAGCCGAGGACCGCCUGUCCACUCGGGACGGAGAGAGGGGGCUGUACCGGUACCUGAGCUCCGUUCAGGGCCUGGGGGGGUUCCAGGACCACUUCGACUGGUGGCUGGCUAAUGGACUCUCUCUCCGUGGAGGGAAACCUUUGUGGGUCGACCCAUUUGACCAGGACGUCCAGCACAUCUUCAUCGACGACAACAUCCGACAAAAUGACGAGGACACCAUCGUUCAUCCGAAGGUGUUUGUGGCUCCGGGCGGCUCGGACACUCGGACAGCUUCCACCGUCGAGCUGUACGACAUCAGCCUGGUUCAGACCGACCUCCUGCAGGCCAUCUCUGACCCAAACUGCUUCACCCAG